rfam:Schistosoma rodhaini strain Burundi genome assembly, scaffold: SROB_scaffold0014886
AGUCCCAAAUAGGACGAAACGCGCGUCCUGGAU